AUUGAACGCUGGCGGCAUGCUUUACACAUGCAAGUCGAACGGUAACAGCACUUCUGUGGCUGACGAGUGGCGAACGGGUGAGUAAUACAUCUGAACGUGCCUAGUAGUGGGGGAUAACUACUCUAAAGAGUAGCUAAUACCGCAUGAGAUCUAAGUAUGAAAGCAUUUGACCUUCUGGCCUUUCUCUACUAUUUCUGCUGAUGGCAGAUUAGUUAGUUGGUGUGAUAAAAGCUUACCAAGCCGACGAUCUGUAUCUGGUCUGAGAGGAAGACCAGCCACAGUGGGACUGAGACACGGACAAGACGCCUACGGGAGGCAGCAGUGGGGAAUGUUGGACAAUGGGCGAAAGCAUGAUACAGAAAUGCCGCGUGCAGGAUGAAGGCAUUCGGGUUGUAAACUGAUGUUGUAAGGAACGAAAAGAACUCUUCGAAAACAGGAGGGUCAUGACGGUAACGUAAGAAGAAGCACCGGCUAACUACGUG
rnacentral:rRNA from 1 species